AGAGUUUGAUCCUGGCUCAGGACGAACGCUGGCGGCGUGCCUAAUGCAUGCAAGUCGCACGGGCUGCCUUCGGGUAGUCAGUGGCGCACGGCUGAGGAACACGUACGUACCGACCGCCCUGUGGGGGACAACUCCGGGAAACCGGGGCUAAUCCCGCAUACUCUCCCUCGGGAGCAAAGCCUUCGGGCGCAGGACGACGGGCGUGCGGCCCAUCAGGUUGUUGGCGGGGUAAUGGCCCACCAAGCCCGUGACGGGUCGCUGGUCUGAGAGGAUGACCAGCCAGACUGGGACUGAGACACGGCCCAGACUCCUACGGGAGGCAGCAGCAAGGAAUUUUCGGCAAUGGGCGCAAGCCUGACCGAGCAACGCCGCGUGGUGGAUGACGGCCUUCGGGUUGUAAACACCUUUUUGGGGGGAAGAUACAGACGGUACCCCCGGAAUAAGCCCCGGCUAACUCUGUGCCAGCAGCCGCGGUAAGACAGAGGGGGCAAGCGUUGUCCGGAAUUACUGGGCGUAAAGCGCACGCAGGUGGCCUGGUACGUGAGGUGUGACAGCCGACGGCUUAACCGUCGGAGGCCAUCUCAGACUGCUAGGCUUGAGCCAUUCAGAGGUCAGUGGAAUUGCCGGUGGAGCAGUGAAAUGCGUAGAUCCCGGCAGGAACGCCAAAGGGGAAGCCAGCUGACUGGGAAUGUGCUGACACUCAGGUGCGACAGCGUGGGGAGCGAACCGGAUUAGAUACCCUAGUAGUCC
rnacentral:rRNA from 1 species